UACGUAGGGUGCAAGCGUUAAUCGGAAUUACUGGGCGUAAAGCGUGCGCAGGCGGUUGUGCAAGACAGAUGUGAAAUCCCCGGGCUUAACCUGGGAACUGCAUUUGUGACUGCACGGCUAGAGUGCGGCAGAGGGGGAUGGAAUUCCUGGUGUAGCAGUGAAAUGCGUAGAUAUCAGGAGGAAUACCGAUGGCGAAGGCAGGUCUCUGGGCUGAUACUGACGCUCAUGCACGAAAGCGUGGGGAGCAAACAGG
rnacentral:rRNA from 1 species